AAAGAAGUUGAAGCCUAAAUAUAUUUAUGUCUUUUGAACUUGAGGCAAAGACCAUGUAAAGUGAUGUGUGAGACUUUUUGAGGCUGGCAAAAAGAAGACACUAUCUAGGACACCAGACUUUAAGGGAGAAGGUAGACCAACACCGAGGUUGCCUGAAAGGGAGGACUUAGAGCCACUAACUGCAGCACCACAGACAGCAACGACAAUAGUCAGGAGGGAGCAGGCACCAUGUCGGGCUUCCGCCUCCCAGAGUGCCGCGAUUACAGAGUGUACCACCACGACCCGCUCUAGCAUCGCAUUUGAACACACAAGAGAACAGAGAAAGUCGAGCUACUCUGUAUGCUCACCGCAGAGCGAACCCUGGGGUGACCGGCGGCCCAAACCCGCGGCCCUGCAGCCCAGUACACAACCGCCCUAGCCAGCCAAGGCGCGGCUGCCCCAGGAGAAGCCAGGGGCCGGAACCCGAGCACUCAGUCACCGGCGAAAGUCUUUCCCUGGAACCCACCGACCCACCACCGAGAGGAGCGCCUAGAGCGGCCGGCCCCGCCCUGCCGCGCAAACCGCUCCGCCCCGCCGCCUCUAUCCCGGAAGUUGUGCCGAGUGCCAGUUCGCGUGCGACUUGCCCCUGGUACGGUCGUUUGAGUGGU